UACCAGCACCCCGAGUGGUCGGGACGAUUAUUGGGCCUAAAGCAUCCGUAGCCGGUUCUACAAGUCUUCCGUUAAAUCCACCUGCUUAACAGAUGGGCUGCGGAGGAUACUAUAGAGCUAGGAGGCGGGAGAGGCAAGCGGUACUUAGUGGGUAGGGGUAAAAUCCGUUGAUCCAUUGAAGACCACCAGUGGCGAAGGCGACUUACUGGACACAUAUUGACGCUGAGGUGCGAAAGCGUGGGGAGCAAACAGG
rnacentral:rRNA from 1 species